GCGGAAGUAGCUCAACGGUAGAGCAUCGGCUUCCCAAGCCGAGGGCUGCGGGUUCGAUUCCCGUCUUCCGCUCCA
rnacentral:tRNA from 2 species